GACGAACGCUGGCGGCGUGCUUAACACAUGCAAGUCGAACGGUGAAAGCGGAGCUUGCUCCGCUGGAUCAGUGGCGAACGGAUGAGUAACACGUGGGCAACCUGCCCCUCACUUCGGGAUAACUCCGGGAAACCGGGGCUAAUACCGGAUAUGACCUCCUUGGGCACCCUUGGAGGUGGAAAGUUUUUCGGUGAGGGAUGGGCCCGCGGCCUAUCAGCUUGUUGGUGAGGUAGUGGCUCACCAAGGCGACGACGGGUAGCCGGCCUGAGAGGGCGACCGGCCACACUGGGACUGAGACACGGCCCAGACUCCUACGGGAGGCAGCAGUGGGGAAUAUUGCGCAAUGGGCGAAAGCCUGACGCAGCAACGCCGCGUGCGGGAUGACGGCCUUCGGGUUGUAAACCGCUUUCAGCAGGGAAGAAGCCGCAAGGUGACGGUACCUGCAGAAGAAGCACCGGCUAACUACGUGCCAGCAGCCGCCGUAA
rnacentral:rRNA from 1 species